AUACGUAGGGAGCAAGCGUUGUCCGGAUUUACUGGGUGUAAAGGGCGCGUAGGCGGACUUGUUAGUCAGAGGUGAAAUCCUGCGGCUUAACCGUAGAACUGCCUUUGAUACUGCAAGUCUUGAGUUCGGAAGAGAGAGAUGGAAUUCCAGGUGUAGUGGUGAAAUACGUAGAUAUCUGGAAGAACACCAGUGGCGAAGGCGGUCUCUUGGUCCGUAACUGACGCUGAGGCGCGAAAGCGUGGGGAGCAAACAGGAUUAGAUACCCUAGUAGUCC
rnacentral:rRNA from 1 species